GCGAGCUCCCCGGAAGCUCCCACCUGAGCGGCGCAUCCUCAGGGCCUGGGCCUGGCCUCCUUGCCUGUGAGAUGGCACUGUGACGGUGCCCACCUCGUGGGGUGUGUGAGGGCCGAGUGAAAUCGUGCAUUUGCGGAAAUGCCCAUGACCUUCAUCGCAGCAGCGUAUGUGCGUUGGUCUUCUCCAGGGAUGCCGAAAGUAGACAUACAGGGAGUCGCAGUACGGAUACCACCAGUGCCAGCCUGACCUCACAAGAGACGUCUUGUGUGACUGGCCCUGCCGUCACAGCUGGGCCAGUAAAGUACCUUCCAGGAGGCUCCAGUUGCUACCUGACUCACAACCUUCUAAUCCCAUGAUCUUUUAGUUCUAGUUUCCUUAUCUUGGUCUGAGCAAAUGGCUCAUUUUAAAGAUGACUUGCAGACAAAUGUAGAGAUCAUCCCAGGGGAAAGUGCCCCAAGAAAGGAGAGUCCAAGACCACCUGCCCCUCCCAGUUCUGCGGCUGGAGUGGGUGGGUGCAGCAACCACAGCCCCAGUGUACAGGAGUCACCACUGUCUCCUCCCGCAUUGGCCCAGCUUGGAAGUGCACAGCAACCAAGCAUGAGGACUGAGUUAAGCUUUUCGGAGAAAAAAGACACUAUGAUCAUCUGGCAGAUCACGAUCACUGUUUGGUGCCAGAGUGUUUAAGAAGCUUUUUAAGACCAUCUGCCUAAUAU
rnacentral:lncRNA from 1 species